GAUGCCAGGGUCAAAAGCCUGAAAGCACGAUGUGCUUGCACAGGAGUGCUUUUAUGGCUUAAUGACCCGCCCCGAUAUGAGCAUAACAGUGAAGCGUAAGCUUCGCGAUAUGCGAAUAUUGGGUAGGAUUGUGAGAGUACGAAGUACGGAACGAUCCGUAUGGC
rnacentral:sRNA from 1 species